rnacentral:rRNA from 1 species
UAGCAAGGUUAACCGUAUAGGGGAGCCGGAGGGAAACCGAGUCUUAACCGGGCGUUAAGUUGCAGGGUAUAGACCCGAAACCCGGUGAUCUAGCCAUGGGCAGGUUGAAGGUUGGGUAACACUAACUGGAGGACCGAACCGACUAAUGUUGAAAAAUUAGCGGAUGACCUGUGGCUGGGGGUGAAAGGCCAAUCAAACCGGGAGAUAGCUGGUUCUCCCCGAAAGCUAUUUAGGUAGCGCCUCGUGAAUUCAUCUCCGGGGGUAGAGCACUGUUUCGGCUAGGGGGCCAUCCCGGCUUACCAACCCGAUGCAAACUGCGAAUACCGGAGAAUGUUAUCACGGGAGACACACGGCGGGUGCUAACGUCCGUCGUGAAGAGGGAAACAACCCAGACCGCCAGCUAAGGUCCCAAAGUCAUGGUUAAGUGGGAAACGAUGUGGGAAGGCCCAGACAGCCAGGAUGUUGGCUUAGAAGCAGCCAUCAUUUAAAGAAAGCGUAAUAGCUCACUGGUCGAGUCGGCCUGCGCGGAAGAUGUAACGGGGCUAAACCAUGCACCGAAGCUGCGGCAGCGAACGUAUCACCCAAGACAACUUUACGGAGUUGACGAUUGACGGAGCGAAGCGACGUCAAAGCGUUCAUUAAAGUCGAGUUGGCUUAGGGAUACGUUCGUUGGGUAGGGGAGCGUUCUGUAAGCCUGUGAAGGUGUGUCGUGAGGCAUGCUGGAGGUAUCAGAAGUGCGAAUGCUGACAUAAGUAACGAUAAAGCGGGUGAAAAGCCCGCUCGCCGGAAGACCAAGGGUUCCUGUCCAACGUUAAUCGGGGCAGGGUGAGUCGACCCCUAAGGCGAGGCCGAAAGGCGUAGUCGAUGGGAAACGGGUUAAUAUUCCCGUACUUGGUGUUACUGCGAAGGGGGGACGGAGAAGGCUAUGUUGGCCGGGCGACGGUUGUCCCGGUUUAAGCGUGUAGGUGUGUGUUCCAGGUAAAUCCGGUUCACUUUAACACUGAGGCGUGACGACGAGGCACUACGGUGCUGAAGCAACAAAUGCCCUGCUUCCAGGAAAA